CUUUCCAACAAUGAGUCAGAUGUGCUACUCAGGGCGUUAAGUCCUCAUUGGGAUUACGGUUAUAGGUGCAUUCUUUGUGGAUUUGUUUUUAAUUUUUUUUGUAUUCACAUGCACCUUUGUUGUUUUAAUGCUCGGAGAGAUUUUGUGGCGUUAACAGGAGCUGAUUCAGGUUGUAAAUACGGGAUCCACCUGUAUGAGCUUCCCACUGAACUCUCGAGGCCUCCAGCACGCACACAUCAACGUGCAACGUGCACUUGUGGAAUGAGACGCCGCGUGCAGAUAUUAGGGUUCCUGUGUGAUGGCGCCUGCAGGCGGGAUUAGGCCCUUCAUCCGCUGCUCCGCCUCCUCGGCCCCCUUCUCUUUCCUGAGGCGUAAAAGAUUCAGGGAGAAAAACCACACCGGUGAGUAUUAUUUGCGUUGGCUUUAAAGGAUUGGCUCAGAGACACUUUGUGCACUGUGUGUGUGUUUCAGUGGCACAGGAGGGAAACUAAUCUGCAUGGUGGCGUCGAUGUAAGAGGAACGAAGUGGCUCAUAUCCCAAAACAUUCCGGAAUCAGGAACAUUUAUUGCCAAGAUAUGUUAGACAAACCAUGCCGUGAGAACAAAUCAUUGAGAUAUUGGUUCUUCAUCUGUGGCCUUCUUCUUUUUUUCACAUUUCUCACACACGUUCCUGGUGGGAUAAUUGUUUUUUUCGACACUCCGAUUCAAGAUGCGCCGCCGAAAUGUGUGUCUGUAUUUGCGUCUUAUGGUGAACCCGUGGUAAUAAUCCUGCAUCCUGUCGGGGGUCAAGGACUCCGCCGGCCUCUGCUCGGGCCCCUGCAACAGAGGGACGCUUGUGAAACACGAGGGGCCCGGCGGGGAAGAUCACAGCCACGGCCGCCGGCCUGGGAAUGCUGUCGCUCUGCAUCAGAGCCGCGUGAGAGAGAGAGAGAGAGAGAGAGGGAGAACACACCUAUGUCAGACACGCCUCUGCAGACGCAUGCUGGUGUGCACUCUGCAGCAGAGUCGACGCCGCUGAGUCUGGGCCCCGUGAGGAGCGUGAGUGUUUUUAAGAUCAUCGUUGGCGUGCGUCAAGGCGGCCCAAGGGAGGACCCGACCCUGCCCUAUGGCUGCAGGCCCUCGCCUUUGUUCUUCACCCGUACAGACAUAAUUACAAGCCUCAAGGAGCCUCCUCUCUCCUUGCGUUCUCUCGCGCUCUCUGCCUCAUGCACUCGAUGCCCACACCUUUUCAUCCCACGCGUUCUUUGACCGAUACUCACGUCCAGGACUCAGUCCUCGGCAGCAGCGCCGCGACGCCCAUAUAGGCCUCUGAUUCCUCCAAGCGUUUGUGUUCACCUUCAUCAUUUGGCCUCCCUGAUCCCAUUCAUCCGUCAACGGGUUUGACUCUCGGUGAGCAGCCACAAAGGUUGUUCUCUCCCUGCAGCGACAUCUGCGUAAGUCAAAUGCAUCGCCACGUUCGUCCCAACACCAACGCCGCUGCUGCACAUUCUCAGUAGGCACAGCGUUGCAUUCUAUGUGUGCAACUCUGGCCCACCAGAGGAAAAUAGCUUCUCUGCGCAGCCUCUGUUUUUGUUUCUCCAGAAU
ensembl:lncRNA